CUGUUUUAUUUUUUACGUUUCAGGAAAAGACCAGCUAUCAAGUCUAUUAUACAUCAGAGAUCACCUGCUAUUGUAGCAAUACUGCCCUCCCCUAAAGAAGAAGCUCACUGGUUGUUCAAGACACGCAACUUACUUGGUAAAAUGGAUAUGAGAAAGACAAAGAAGACAGUG